UACGGGGGGGGCAAGCGUUGUUCGGAAUUACUGGGCGUAAAGGGUUUGUAGGUGGCUUGCUAAGUCAGACGUGAAAUCCCUCAGCUUAACUGGGGAACUGCGUCUGAUACUGGCGAGCUUGAGUGCAGGAGAGGAACGCGGAAUUCCAGGUGUAGCGGUGAAAUGCGUAGAUAUCUGGAGGAACACCGGUGGCGAAGGCGGCGUUCUGGACUGCAACUGACACUGAGGAACGAAAGCCAGGGGAGCAAACGGG
rnacentral:rRNA from 1 species